UACGGAGGGUGCAAGCGUUGUCCGGAAUCAUUGGGCGUAAAGAGCUCGUAGGCGGCCUGUCGCGUCUGCUGUGAAAUCCCGGGGCUUAACCCCGGGCGUGCAGUGGAUACGGGCUGGCUGGAGGCAGGCAGGGGAGAACAGAAUUCCCGGUGUAGCGGUGAAAUGCGCAGAUAUCGGGAGGAACACCGGUGGCGAAGGCGGUUCUCUGGGCCUGUACUGACGCUGAGGAGCGAAAGCGUGGGGAGCGAACAGG
rnacentral:rRNA from 1 species